UGAACGGAUUUGUUUCGCCAUCCCUGCAGCUUAGCUAAUAGCUACUACUCUUCAAACUAACGUCCGCAAACCCUCAACUCCCAGAAUUGCAGAGAAUUCAAAAUAUUUCGCUAUUAAUUUGCAUAAGUUUUUGUUAUCUUCGCAACCCAGAGGGCUGGAUUAAAAAUUCUGAUUUGAAUCUUCUCCUCCUACAUUUUUUCGUACUAAACAAACGGACCCGUGUCAUUAUUAAGGAGUCCUUAAAGGCCUAAAGAGACAAAUUUGUGAGUCCUGUAAGGAUAAACUGGCAUCCUGAUUUUGGGGAUUUGGAUGAAGAAUGCAACGUGUUUUACACAACAGCAGAAUCAGAUUAGCAUCAUGUCGGCAUUGGGAUUAAUCCUGUAAUAAUAUUUUCUUAAGGACACCUUAAUCCAGGGUGACGGCCACAUGCAUCUCAUCCAUCCUAGGGCUUGCAAUUCAUGAAGCCUGUUGCACUAGAGCAUACUCUUGAACAAUUUCUUCAAAUAAACUUGUCAACACCAAAAAUAUCUAUUACAUUAGUUCUUUUUGUGCAGAGUGCAUUUUUGUGGAAAUAAAGUUGUAUUUACUUAAAGUGCAUUUCUCAAAUGUUAUGGGGCUGUUAAGCUGCCAACUAAAGUUAAUGAUACUUUGAUGCGGAGCAACUUGCACUUCAAUAUUUGGAAGACUUGGAUCGAUGCAAACCAAGGAAAAAGAUGCACGGCCGUGCCACCUCUAGCAUGCCCGUGCCAGACUCUGGAAGUCCAGGACGCGAGGCAUGCCCAAGACCAAGAAAUUCAGGCACACCCGUGCCACAGAUAGCCUGACCGUGCUAGCCUCUGGAAGUCCUAGCACGCCCGUGCCAUGACAAGCACGCCCGUGCCAUCGAGUCUAGUUACAAUUCGAGUUCCGGCACGCCCGUGUCAUGCCAAGCCCGCCCCGUGCUAGCCUCUGAGAGUUCCAGCACAGCCGUGUCACCUCUAGCACGCCCGUGCCACCAUCCUUACUAGGGUUUUGUCUAGUUACGUUUUCUUGUGUUAUUUUUAGGUUUUUAAUGUUUAAGCCUAAACCUAUAAAUAUGUUAUUUUGUAUUAUGAACAUAUUCAUUAUCUUUUAUCAUUGUUCAUAUCAAUAAACCUCUUUGAGAACUUAAUCCUCUUUGAGAACUUAAUUA